ACUCCAUCACUUGAUAUGUAUAACCGUUGGGAUUAUGUUUUCCAAUGAGCACUGAUUUGCACUUAUCAAUACUGAAUUCCAUCUCCCAUUUUGUGGCCCAGUCACCCAGUUUUGCC